rnacentral:rRNA from 1 species
AACGAACGCUGGCGGCGUGGAUUAGGCAUGCAAGUCGAGCGAGAAAGGGGUAGCAAUACCCUGAGUAAAGCGGCGAACUGGUGAGUAACAGGUGGGCAACGUUCCCUGAAGUGGGGGAUAACACCGGGAAACCGGUGCUAAUACCGCAUGUGGCCCUAAGGACCAUGGUCCCAAGGGUUAAAGCAGUAGUGCGCUUCUGGAUCGGCCCGCCCUGAUUAGCUAGUUGGUGAGGUAACGGCUCACCAAGGCUACGAUCAGUAGCUGGUCUGAGAGGAUGGUCAGCCACACUGGGACUGAGAUACGGCCCAGACUCCUACGGGAGGCAG